rnacentral:lncRNA from 1 species
GGGACAGGAAUGUAGCCUCAGUGUGAAAGUCCUAUGUUCAGUCCUCAGUACUGGGAAGUGAGGGGAAGGAGGAAGGAGAAGACAGAAUCCUUCAUUUUGGAGCUGAACACUGCCCUGGUCAUGAGAGAAGACGAUGCGGUUGCAGACCCAGCCGCUGCCGCACACCAUCAGAGUCACGUGGCUGUACAACGUGGCCGUGAUUCCCUCCCACCCCCAACCUCUCCGCAGAGUGCCGGCGACCCACCUGCAUAGGAAGCCAGCAGCGAAGGAAUUCUGGGGAGUGUGGCUCAGCCUGGUUCAGCUGACACAACACAAGCCUCCGCACCACUGAUGUCCUCUCCAGUUCACAGCUCAGGAGACACAGGCUCUGCUUUACAAGAAAGGCCUGGCUGCAGCAAGGAGCAAUGGGUCUGGCCUGGUCCAGAUGGGGCUCUCUCUGGAGUGGAGUGGAGGACGGAGGUUAAACUCCCACCUCAGGAUGGAGUUACCAGAAACAGGAGGAAGCAACGUUUGGUGUGUGCCUCAGCCCAGCUGCCUGCCAUCUGGACAUAGGCCUAUUAACCCCUGACCUUCAGCCAUACGCCUGCCCCACAUCUCCCUCCACAUACAUGAGUCAGAAGAAGGAGCAGCCAAGGAACCUCCCAGGUCCCACUGGGCCAAGAAGUAUCUAUUCAAAGUACAGCAGCUGGUCCUGGGUUCUAGGCUCUGCCUCUCACUUCGCAUGUCCUUGGCCAAGUCACCUGGCUUUCCCAGCUGAGCCUUUUCUCAUCUACAAAUGAAGAGAUGCUGUGAGUAGCAUCUAUCUCCAGGUGCUGUACCUUUAGAAGCACCUAAAGCAUUCCAUGCCUCUAAGAUGGUGAUGAGUCUUCACUGGAGGAAACAUCAUUUACCAUGACAAAGGGGGCCCCACACAACAUCAUCCACAACCUCUCUGCAUGGACACCUGAGAAAGUUCCAGUAUCCUUCAGUGAAGUCUGGAGACCUAACCCCA